rnacentral:rRNA from 1 species
UACGAAGGGGGCUAGCGUUGCUCGGAAUCACUGGGCGUAAAGCGCACGUAGGCGGAUUCUUAAGUCAGGGGUGAAAUCCUGGAGCUCAACUCCAGAACUGCCUUUGAUACUGGGAGUCUCGAGUCCGGGAGAGGUGAGUGGAACUGGCGAGUGUAGAGGUGAAAUUCGUAGAUAUUCGCAAGAACACCAGUGGCGAAGGCGGCUCACUGGCCCGGUACUGACGCUGAGGUGCGAAAGCGUGGGGAGCGAACAGG